AACGAACGCUGGCGGCGUGCCUAACACAUGCAAGUCGAGGGAGAAAGCCCGCAAGGGUGAGUAAACCGGCGAACGGGUGCGUAACACGUGGAUAAUCUACCUUCCUGACCGGGACAACUGGCCGAAAGGCUUGCUAAUACCAGAUAAGCCCACGGCGUCCUUGGACGCUGAGGGAAAAGGUGGCCUCUGCAUGCAAGCUAUCGCAGGGAGAUGAGUCCGCGGCCCAUCAGCUAGUUGGCGGGGUAAAAGCCACCAAGGCUACGACGGGUAGCUGGUCUGAGAGGAUGAUCAGCCACACUGGAACUGAGACACGGUCCAGACUCCUACGGGAGGCAGCAGUGGGGAAUCUUGCGCAAUGGGCGAAAGCCUGACGCAGCAACGCCGCGUGUGUGAUGAAGGUCUUC
rnacentral:rRNA from 1 species